rnacentral:rRNA from 1 species
CUACGGGGUGCACCAGGCGCGAAACCUUUACAAUGCACGCAAGUGUGAUAAGGGAAUCCCUAGUGCUCAUGUACUGCAUGGGCUUUUGCUAAGUGUAAAUAGCUUGGCGAAUAAGUGGUGGGUAAGACUGGUGCCAGCCGCCGCGGUAACACCAGCGCCACGAGUGGUAACCACGUUUAUUGGGCCUAAAGCGUCCGUAGCCGGUUUGGUAAAUCUUUUGUGAAAUUGUUCAGCUUAACUGAACAGCGUGCAAGAGACACUGCCAAACUCGAGACCGGGAGGAGUCAGAAGUAUUCCAGAGGGAGCGGUAAAAUGUUAUAAUCUCUGGAGGACUACCUGUGGCGAAGGCGUCUGACCAGAACGGAUCUGACGGUGAGGGACGAAAGCCAGGGGAGCGAACCGGAUUAGAUACCCCGGUAGUC